rnacentral:rRNA from 1 species
GCAUAUCAAUUAAGCGGAGGAAAAGAAACCAACAGGGAUUGCCUCAGUAGCGGCGAGUGAAGCGGCAAAAGCUCCAUUUUGAAAGCUCUUCGGAGCGUUGUAGAUUGGUGGGAAGCUAACGGCUGGUGGGAGACCAAGUCCUCUGGAACGAGGCGCCAUAGAGGGUGAGAGCCCCGUGUGUCUCCUUUACCGACCUUUCAGCCCCCUCCGCGGAGUCGAGUUGUUUGGGAAUGCAGCUCUAAGUGGGUGGUAAAUUCCAUCUAAGGCUAAAUAUUGGCGAGAGACCGAUAGCGAACAAGUACAGUGAUGGAAAGAUGAAAAGCACUUUGAAAAGAGAGUGAAACAGUACGUGAAAUUGUUGAAAGGGAAGGGUAUUUGGCCCGACAUGGGUCCUAUGCACCGUUGCCUCUCGUGGGCGGCGCUCUGCUUGGGCCUGGGCCAGCGUCAGUUUGGAGGGGGCGAGAAGGGUUUUGGGGAGUUGCCUAGCAAUUCCCCUUUGCUAGAUUGCCCCACACCGGACUGAGGACCGCCAUCUG